GUGUCCAGCCGAAUGUGCGCCCUUGCUGAGGCCCCAGGAUGGGACCGCGGCCUAUCAGGUAGUAGGUGGGGUAACGGCCCACCUAGCCUACGACGGGUACGGGCCCUGAGAGGGGGAGCCCGGAGAUGGGCACUGAGACAAGGGUCUAGGCCCUAAGGGGCGCAGCAGGCGCGAAGAUUCCGCAAUGCCCGAAAGGGCGACGGAGUGAACCCGAGUGCCACCCGCUGAGGGUGGCUGUUCCCCUGUGUAAAAAGCAGGGGGCAGGAAGGGGAGGGCAAGGCUGGUGGCAGCCGCCGCGGUAAAACCAGCUCCCCGAGGGGUUCCCACGCAUACUGGGCCUAAAGCGUCCGUAGCCGGCCCUGUAAGUCUGCAGUUAAAUCCGCCUGUAGACAGGCGGGUUGCUGCAGAUACUGCAGGGCUAGGGAGCGGGAGGAGCCGGGGGUAUUCCCGGGGGAGCGGUAAAAUGCGUAGAUCCCGGGAGGACCACCAGUGGCGAAGGCGCCCGGCUUGAACGCGUCCGACGGUGAGGGACGAAAGCUGGGGGAGCAAACCGGAUUAGAUACCCGGGUAGUCCCAGCCGUAAACGAUGCCGGCUAGGUGCUGGCCAAGGUUUCGGCCUUGGCCAGUGUCGAAGCGAAGGCAUUAAGCCGGCCGCCUGAGGAGUACGGCCGCAAGGCUGAAACUUGAAGGAAUUGACGGGGGGGCACCACAAGGGGUGAAUGCCUGCGGCUUAAUUGGACUCAACGCCGGGAAUCUUACCGGGGGCGACAGCAGGAUGAAGGUCAGGCUGAAGACCUUACCAGACGCGCUGAGGGGUGGUGCAUGGCCGUCGCCAGCUCGUGCCGUGAGGUGUCCUGUUAAGUCAGGCAACGAGCGAGACCCCCGCCCCUAGUUGCCAGCGGCCUCCUUCGGGAGGGACCGGGCAAACUAGGGGGACCGCCUCCGAAGAGGAGGAGGAAGGUGGGGGCUACGGCAGGUCAGUAUGCCCCUAAUCCCCCGGGCCGCACGCGGGCUGCAAUGGGCGGGACAGCGGGAUG
rnacentral:rRNA from 1 species